GAUGAACGCUGGCGGCGUGCUUAACACAUGCAAGUCGAACGAUGAACCCCGCUUGCGGGGGGAUUAGUGGCGAACGGGUGAGUAACACGUGAGUAACCUGCCCUUAACUCUGGGAUAAGCCUUGGAAACGGGGUCUAAUACUGGAUAUUGACUUUUCCUCGCAUGGGGAUUGGUUGAAAGAUUUAUUGGUUUUGGAUGGACUCGCGGCCUAUCAGCUUGUUGGUGAGGUAAUGGCUCACCAAGGCGACGACGGGUAGCCGGCCUGAGAGGGUGACCGGCCACACUGGGACUGAGACACGGCCCAGACUCCUACGGGAGGCAGCAGUGGGGAAUAUUGCACAAUGGGCGCAAGCCUGAUGCAGCGACGCCGCGUGAGGGAUGACGGCCUUCGGGUUGUAAACCUCUUUCAGUAGGGAACAAGGCCAGUGUUUAGCUGGUUGAGGGUACUUGCAGAAGAAGCGCCGGCUAACUACGUGCCAGCAGCCGCGGUAAUACGUAGGGCGCAAGCGUUAUCCGGAAUUAUUGGGCGUAAAGAGCUCGUAGGCGGUUUGUCGCGUCUGCCGUGAAAGUCCGGGGCUCAACUCCGGAUCUGCGGUGGGUACGGGCAGACUAGAGUGAUGUAGGGGAGACUGGAAUUCCUGGUGUAGCGGUGAAAUGCGCAGAUAUCAGGAGGAACACCGAUGGCGAAGGCAGGUCUCUGGGCAUUAACUGACGCUGAGGAGCGAAAGCAUGGGGAGCGAACAGGAUUAGAUACCCUGGUAGUCCAUGCCGUAAACGUUGGGCACUAGGUGUGGGGGACAUUCCACGUUUUCCGCGCCGUAGCUAACGCAUUAAGUGCCCCGCCUGGGGAGUACGGCCGCAAGGCUA
rnacentral:rRNA from 1 species